rnacentral:lncRNA from 1 species
GGUUUCCCGCGGAGUUCCCCGCUUGGCGCUUGCUUGCGCGUCUUGGAGUACUGGUCGGGUUUCACCCCCAUCAGUUGGCGCCGUCUGUGACUCAAAGAUACUCACGACAAAAGCUCCUCGACUUUUUUCCAAGUCGCCAGCUAGGGAGUCUUGCGAGGAAAUCAGCCAGCAAGGGAUCGACAUUUCAGAAGAUCGACUUUUUCUUCCAAGGAAAAAAGUCGAUCCC